rnacentral:rRNA from 1 species
CGACUGCUAAUACCGGAUACGCCCUUCGGGGGAAAGGUCCGCCGCAGAAGGAGGAGCCCGCGCUUGAUUAGCUUGUUGGUGAGGUAAUGGCUCACCAAGGCAACGAUCAAUAGCUGGUCUGAGAGGAUGAUCAGCCACACUGGGACUGAGACACGGCCCAGACUCCUACGGGAGGCAGCAGUGGGGAAUAUUGGACAAUGGGGGCAACCCUGAUCCAGCAAUGCCGCGUGUGUGAUGAAAGCCUUAGGGUUGUAAAGCACUUUCACUGGUGAAGAUGAUGA